rnacentral:rRNA from 1 species
CGACGCCGCGUGUGGGAGGAAGCCCUUCGGGGUGUAAACCACUGUCAGGGGGGAAGAAACCUGGUCAUGCGAAUAGCAUGGUCAGUUGACGGUACCCCCCAGAGGAAGCGCCGGCUAACUCCGUGCCAGCAACUGCGGUGACUGAGCGGGCUGGCAAGGCGCAUA